rnacentral:rRNA from 1 species
GGCGAAUAUUGGACAAUGGACCAAAAGUCUGAUCCAGCAAUUCUGUGUGCACGAUGAAGUUUUUCGGAAUGUAAAGUGCUUUCAGUUGGGAAGAAGAAAGUGACGGUACCAACAGAAGAAGCGACGGCUAAAUACGUGCCAGCAGCCGCGGUAAUACGUAUGUCGCAAGCGUUAUCCGGAUUUAUUGGGCGUAAAGCGCGUCUAGGCGGUUUGGUAAGUCUGAUGUGAAAAUGCAGGGCUCAACUCCGUAUUGCGUUGGAAACUGCCAAACUAGAGUACUGGAGAGGUAGGCGGAACUACAAGUGUAGAGGUGAAAUUCGUAGAUAUUUGUAGGAAUGCCGAUGGGGAAGCCAGCCUACUGGACAGAUACUGACGCUAAAGCGCGAAAGCGUGGGUAGCAAACA